AGAGCGAACGCUGGCGGCAGGCCUAACACAUGCAAGUCGAGCGCGUGUAGCAAUACACGAGCGGCAGACGGGAGAGUAACACGUGGGAACGCGCCCUUCGGUUCGGAAUAACUCAGGGAAACUUGAGCUAAUACCGGAUACGCCCUUACGGGGAAAGAUUUAUUGCCGAAGGAACGGCCCGCGUCCGAUUAGCUAGUUGGUGAGGUAACGGCUCACCAAGGCGACGAUCGGUAGCUGGUCUGAGAGGAUGACCAGCCUCACUGGGACUGAGACACGGCCCAGACUCCUACGGGAGGCAGCAGUGGGGAAUAUUGGACAAUGGGCGCAAGCCUGAUCCAGCCAUGCCGCGUGGAUGAUGAAGGCCGUUAGGGUUGUAAAGUCCGUUUUAACGGGGAAGUAUAAUGACGGUACCCGUAGAAUAAGCCCGGCUAACUCGUGCCAGCAGCCGC
rnacentral:rRNA from 1 species